UACGGAGGGUGCAAGCGUUAAUCGGAAUCACUGGGCGUAAAGGGCACGUAGGCGGCUUGAUAAGUCAGGUGUGAAAUCCCUGGGCUCAACCUGGGAAUGGCAUUUGAUACUGUUGAGCUAGAGUCUGGUAGAGGGAGGUGGAAUUCCAGGUGUAGCGGUGAAAUGCGUAGAGAUCUGGAGGAACACCGGUGGCGAAGGCGGCCUCCUGGGCCAAGACUGACGCUGAGGCGCGACAGCGUGGGGAGCAAACCGG
rnacentral:rRNA from 1 species